ensembl:lncRNA
UGGGAUGACCAACACUGGUAGGUAGAGACAGACUGGGAUGACCAACACUGGUAGGCAGAGAGACUGGGAUGACCAACACUGGUAGGCAGAGAGACUGGGAUGACCAACACUGGUAGGUAGAGACAGACUGGGAUGACCAACACUGGUAGGCAGAGAGACUGGGAUGGCCAACACUGGUAGGUAGAGAGACUGGGAUGACCAACACUGGUAGGUAGAGACAGACUGGGAUGACCAACACUGGUAGGUAGAGACAGACUGGGAUGACCAACACUGGUAGGUAGAGACAGACUGGGAUGACCAACACUGGUAGGUAGAGACAGACUGGGAUGACCAACACUGGUAGGUAGAGACAGACUGGGAUGACCAACACUGGUAGGCAGAGAGACUGGGAUGGCCAACACUGGUAGGUAGAGAGACUGGGAUGACCAACACUGGUAGGUAGAGAGACUGGGAUGACCAACACUGGUAGGUAGAGACAGACUGGGAUGACCAACACUGGUAGGUAGAGACAGACUGGGAUGACCAACACUGGUAGGUAGAGACAGACUGGGAUGACCAACACUGGUAGGUAGAGACAGACUGGAUGACCAACACUGGUAGCUUGGCAUGUAAAGGCGAGGAAGAUGCCAAUGCCACUACAGUAUAUCUCCAUGGAAGUAUGAACCCCCAUAGCUAGCUACAGUUGGGCUCAAUUCCAUUUCAAUUCCAGUCA